GACGAACGCUGGCGGCGUGCUUAACACAUGCAAGUCGAACGGAAAGGCCCUGCUUUUGUGGGGUGCUCGAGUGGCGAACGGGUGAGUAACACGUGAGUAACCUGCCCUUGACUUUGGGAUAACUUCAGGAAACUGGGGCUAAUACCGGAUAGGAGCUCCUGCUGCAUGGUGGGGGUUGGAAAGUUUCGGCGGUUGGGGAUGGACUCGCGGCUUAUCAGCUUGUUGGUGGGGUAGUGGCUUACCAAGGCUUUGACGGGUAGCCGGCCUGAGAGGGUGACCGGCCACAAUGGGACUAAGAUAGGGACCAGACUCCUACGGGAGGCAGCAGGGGGGAAUAUUGCACAAUGGGCGGAAGCCUGAGGCAGAAACGCCGCGUGCGGGAUGACGGCCUUCGGGUUGUAAACAGCUUUCGCCUGUGACGAAGCGGGAGUGACGGUAAUGGGUAAAGAAGCACCGGCUAACUACGUG
rnacentral:rRNA from 1 species